rnacentral:rRNA from 1 species
UACAGAGGGGGCAAGCGUUAUUCGGAAUUAUUGGGCGUAAAGGGCGCGUAGGCGGCCAGGCAAGUGGAAGGUGAAAUCCCUCGGCUUAACCGAGGAACUGCCCUCCAAACUGCUUGGCUUGAGACCGGGAGAGGUGAGUGGAAUUCCCAGUGUAGCGGUGAAAUGCGUAGAUAUUGGGAGGAACACCAGUGGCGAAGGCGGCUCACUGGACCGGUACUGACGCUGAGACACGAAAGCUAGGGGAGCAAACAGG